CAAUGAGGUAGAGGUUGCGAUAAUUAAAAGUAGUACACUGGAAGCUUGAUGGAGCUCUUGAUAGUGGUCGAAAGGAAUUAUCGCCGAAGCUCGAAGGAUCCAUUUUAUCUUUUGAGCUGGGUUUGCAUCGAACAGGUGUAAAACUGUCACAGGACUAUUCUGUGGAGAACUAUAAAGGGA
rnacentral:ncRNA from 1 species